GAUGAACGCUGGCGGCGUGCCUAAUACAUGCAAGUCGAGCGAACAGACGAGGAGCUUGCUCCUCUGACGUUAGCGGCGGACGGGUGAGUAACACGUGGAUAACCUACCUAUAAGACUGGGAUAACUUCGGGAAACCGGAGCUAAUACCGGAUAAUAUAUUGAACCGCAUGGUUCAAUAGUGAAAGACGGUUUUGCUGUCACUUAUUGAUGGAUCCGCGCCGCAUUAGCUAGUUGGUAAGGUAACGGCUUACCAAGGCAACGAUGCGUAGCCGACCUGAGAGGGUGAUCGGCCACACUGGAACUGAGACACGGUCCAGACUCCUACGGGAGGCGGCAGUAGGGAAUCUUCCGCAAAGGGCGAAAGCCUGACGGAGCAACGCCGCGUGAGUGAUGAAGGUCUUCGGAUCGUAAAACUCUGUUAUUAGGGAAGAACAAAUGUGUAAGUAACUAUGCACGUCUUGACGGUACCUAAUCAGAAAGCCACGGCUAACUACGUG
rnacentral:rRNA from 1 species